CCUACGGGAGGCAGCAGUGGGGAAUAUUGCACAAUGGGGGAAACCCUGAUGCAGCAACGCCGCGUGAAGGAAGACGGUUUUCGGAUUGUAAACUUCUGUUCUUAGUGAAGAAUAAUGACGGUAGCUCAGGAGCAAGCCAAGGCUAACUACGUGCCAGCAGCCGCGGUAAUACGUAGGUGGCAAGCGUUGUCCGGAAUUACUGGGCGUAAAGGGCGCGCAGGCGGGAAGCCAAGUCAGCUGUGAAAACUACGGGCUUAACUUGUAGACUGCAGUUGAGACUGGUUUUCGUGAGUGAAGUAGAGGGUGGCGGAAUUCCAGGUGUAGCGGUGAAAUGCGUAGAUAUUCGGAGGAACACCGGUGGCGAAGGCGGCCAACUGGGCUUUAACUGACGCUGAGGCGCGAAAGUGUGGGGAGCAAACAGGAUUAGAUACCCUUGUAGUC
rnacentral:rRNA from 1 species